rnacentral:tRNA from 1 species
GCCGGAGUAGUUUAGUGGUAAAACGGCUCCAUGGUAAGGAGCAGACCGCGAGUUCGAUCCUCGCCUCCGGCU